UACGUAGGGCGCGAGCGUUGUCCGGAAUUAUUGGGCGUAAAGAGCUCGUAGGCGGCCUGUUGCGUCCGCUGUGAAAACUGGAGGCUUAACCUCCAGACGUCGGUGGAAACCGUAUGACUAGAGUCCGGAAGAGGAGAGUGGAAUUCCUGGUGUAGCGGUGAAAUGCGCAGAUAUCAGGAAGAACACCCGUGGCGAAGGCGGCUCUCUGGGACGGUACUGACGCUGAGACGCGAAAGCGUGGGGAGCGAACAGG
rnacentral:rRNA from 1 species